GUGCCAGCAGCCGCGGUAAUACGGAGGAUCCGAGCGUUAUCCGGAUUUAUUGGGUUUAAAGGGUGCGUAGGCGGACCUGUAAGUCAGCGGUGAAAGUUUGCAGCUUAACUGUAAAAUUGCCGUUGAAACUGUGGGUCUAGAGUGUAAAUGAGGUAGGCGGAAUGUGUUGUGUAGCGGUGAAAUGCUUAGAUAUAACACAGAACACCGAUUGCGAAGGCAGCUUACUGGGAUACAACUGACGCUGAGGCACGAAAGCGUGGGGAUCAAACAGGAUUAGAUACCCUGGUAGUCCACGCAGUAAACGAUGUUCACUAGGUGUUGGGGGUAUUGACCCUUCCAGUGCCGCAGCUAACGCAUUAAGUGAACCGCCUGGGGAGUACGUUCGCAAGAAUGAAACUCAAAGGAAUUGACGGGGGCCCGCACAAGCGGAGGAACAUGUGGUUUAAUUCGAUGAUACGCGAGGAACCUUACCCGGGCUUGAAAUGCAGAGGAAUUAUUGGGAAACCGAUACGCCAGCAAUGGUCUCUGUGUAGGUGCUGCAUGGUUGUCGUCAGCUCGUGCCGUGAGGUGUCGGCUUAAGUGCCAUAACGAGCGCAACCCUUAUCAUUAGUUACUAACAGGUUAAGCUGAGGACUCUAAUGAGACUGCCACCGUAAGGUGUGAGGAAGGUGGGGAUGACGUCAAAUCAGCACGGCCCUUACGUCCGGGGCGACACACGUGUUACAAUGGGGGGUACAGAGGGUCGCUACCACGCGAGUGGAUGCUAAUCUCAUAAAGCCUCUCUCAGUUCGGAUCGAAGUCUGCAACUC
rnacentral:rRNA from 1 species